AUGUGCUUGCACAAGUGCUCACGUGUACAGGUGCAAACACACAUGCACACACACGUGCACACACGUACAGGCAGGUGUACACAGACACAGGCACACGUGUGCAGACACACACAUGCUUGCUCACUCACAUGUGAACACACACACAUACAGGCACAUAUGUAUGCACACGUGCACACAGGGACAGGAACACACAUGUUCAGGCACACACGCACACUCACACAGGCAUGCACAAGAACACAUGGGUGCACACACUUGCACACUCAUGUACACACGCACACUUGUGCAAACACAUAUGUACAGGCUCAUGCACUUGCACACUCACAUGUGCAACCACAAUGUACGCAUGUAUACAGACACAGCCAUGCACACUUGCACAUUCAUGUGUGCACAGACACAUGUACAGGAAUGUACACACACACACACACAUAUGCAACGCACACAAAUGCAGACACCUGCACACUCACACACCCAGACUUGCACACGCACAUCUGCACACACAUGUACACACACAUGUACACACCCAUGUACACCCUCCCACACUUGCACACAUACAGCCACACUCACAUGCACACACCCAUGUACACAUGCACUAGCACAUGUACACACACUCACACACUUGCACACACGCAUGCACACACUUGCACACACAUCAUAUGCACACAUGUACACACACAUACAUGGUUGUGCACAUACAUGUACACACACGUACACACUCGCACACACUUGUACACACACACUUCCACACACAGAAGUACACACACUUGUGUACACACACACAUAUGUACACAUGUAUAUCCACACUCACAUGCACACACCCAUGUACACACUCACAUGUACACAGACACACACACUUGCACACAUGCAUGUACACACCCACACGUACACGCCCACAAUUGCACACAUGCUAACACACGUACACUCACACAUGCACACACAGACUCGUGCGCACACACACACAGACAAGACACACACACUCAGACAUGCAUAGACACGCACACACACAGACUCACGUGCGCACACAAACACUCAGACACGCACACACAGACACACACACAAACACACACAGACACACACACAGAUUCGUGCACAAACACACACUCAGACAUGCACACACACACAGACACACACACUCUUGCACACACACACACGGACAAACACACAUCCACACACACUUUCACAGACACACAUGCACGCAGAUGCACACACACACACUCACAAACACAGAAACACACACGCAGAAACACACACACACACAGACACACAAACACUCACACACACAGACACACACUCACACAUCAGAAGAUGCACACAGAAACAAACACACAGACACACACACAGUCACGCACACGCGUGCGCACAUGCUCACACACAGACAUGCACAGACAUGCUCACGCUCACACUCACACACGCACGCACACAUGCUCUCACACAUGCACACACACAGACACACUCGCACACACGCACAGACAUGCACACACACACAGACGCUCACACGGACACACAGGCACGCACACACAGUCACACACACUCACACACACACACGCUCACACACACACACACACUCACACACACACACGCUCACACACACACACAUGCUCACACAUGCUCACACACACUCACACAUGCUCACACACACACUCACACAUGCACACACACAGACACACUCGCACACACGCACAGACAUGCACACACACACAGACGCUCACACGGACACACAGGCACGCACACACAGUCACACACACUCACACACACACACGCUCACACACACACACAUGCUCACACAUGCUCACACACACUCACACAUGCUCACACACACACUCACACAUGCACACACACAGACACACACUCUUGCACACACGCACACACAGAUGCUCACAUGCACACACUCACACGCACACGCUCUCACACUCACACACACACUCACAUACACUCACUCACACACGCUCACACACACACACGCUCACUCACACGCUCACACACACACGGUUGCACAGACACACACAGACGCUCACACGUACACACAGACACACGCAGAGACACACACAGAUGCUCACACGGACACACACACACUCACUCACACAUGCUCACACACACACACUCGCUCACACACUCACACACGCUCACACACUCACACAUGCUCUCACACACACACGCUCACACACAUGCUCAUAG
rnacentral:lncRNA from 1 species